AAGUCCCAUAACGAGCGCAACCCCUAUUCUUAGUUGCCAGCGGUUCGGCCGGGGACUCUAAGAAAACUGCCCGCGCAAGCGGUGAGGAAGGUGGGGAUGACGUCAAAUCAUCACGGCCCUUACGUCCAGGGCCACACACGUGCUACAAUGGUGUUGACAGAGGGCAGCUAUACUGCGAAGUAAUGCUAAUCCCAAAACAACAUCUCAGUUCGGAUUGGAGUCUGCAACUCGACUCCAUGAAGCUGGAAUCGCUAGUAAUCGCGCAUCAGCCAUGGCGCGGUGAAUACGUUCCCGGGCCUU
rnacentral:rRNA from 1 species